rnacentral:rRNA from 1 species
UCCCUACGGGGGGCAGCAGUGAGGAAUAUUGGUCAAUGGGCGCGAGCCUGAACCAGCCAAGUCGCGUGAGGGAAGACGGUCCUAUGGAUUGUAAACCUCUUUUGUCGGGGAGCAAAAGACGCCACGCGUGGCGUUCCGAGAGUACCCGAAGAAUAAGCACCGGCUAACUACGUGCCAGCAGCCGCGGUAAUACGUAGGGUGCGAGCGUUAAUCGGAAUUACUGGGCGUAAAGGGUGUGCAGGCGGUUUUGCAAGAUGGAUGUGAAAGCCCCGGGCUUAACCCGGGAAAGGCAUAAAUGACUGCAA